AUUGAACGCUGGCGGCAGGCCUAACACAUGCAAGUCGAACGAGUGGCGGACGGGUGAGUAAUGUCUGGUAAAUUGCCUGCUGGAGGGGGAUAACUACUGGAACCGGUAUCUAAUACCGCAUACCCUCAGAUGUUCCCAGCUGGGAUUGGCUAGUAGGUGGGGUAAUGGCUCACCUAGGCGACGAUCCCUAGCUGGUCUGAGAGGAUGACAAGCCAAACUGGAACUGAGACACGGGCCAGACUCCUACGGGAGGCAGCAGGGGGGAAUAUUGCACAAUGGGCGCAAGACUGAUGCAGCCAUGCCGCGUGUGUGAAGAAGGCCUUCGGGUUGUAAAGCACUUUCAGCGAGGAGGCGUUACUCGCAGAAGAAGCACCGGCUAACUCCGUGCCAGCAGCCGCGGUAAUAC
rnacentral:rRNA from 1 species